UACAGAGGUCCCAAGCGUUGUUCGGAUUCACUGGGCGUAAAGGGUGCGUAGGCGGUCGGGUAAGUCUGAUGUGAAAUCUUCAAGCUCAACUUGGAAACUGCGUCCGAUACUAUUCGGCUAGAGGAAUGGAGGGGAGACUGGAAUACUUGGUGUAGCAGUGAAAUGCGUAGAUAUCAAGUGGAACGCCAGUGGCGAAGGCGAGUCUCUGGACAUUUCCUGACGCUGAGGCACGAAAGCCAGGGGAGCAAACGGG
rnacentral:rRNA from 1 species